rnacentral:rRNA from 1 species
GACGAACGCUGGCGGCGUGCUUAACACAUGCCAGUCGAACGGAAGGGCCCUGCUUUUGUGGGGUGCUCGAGUGGCGAACGGGUGAGUAACACGUCAGUAACCUGCCCUUGACUUUGGGAUAACUUCAGGAAACUGGGGCUAAUACCGGAUAGGAGCUCCUGCUGCAUGGUGGGGGUUGGAAAGUUUCGGCGGUUGGGGAUGGACUCGCGGCUUAUCAGCUUGUUGGUGGGGUAGUGGCUUACCAAGGCUUUGACGGGUAGCCGGCCUGAGAGGGUGACCGGCCACAUUGGGACUGAGAUACGGCCCAGACUCCUACGGGAGGCAGCAGUGGGGAAUAUUGCACAAUGGGCGGAAGCCUGAUGCAGCAACGCCGCGUGCGGGAUGACGGCCUUCGGGUUGUAAACCGCUUUCGCCUGUGACGAAGCGUGAGUGACGGUAAUGGGUAAAGAAGCACCGGCUAACUACGUG